rnacentral:miRNA from 14 species
AAGGAAACUAGACAAUCUUACA